UGGAGGGCACAAAGACUGGAGAGCAGGAGGAAUCACAGAGGGGAGCAGCAAGAGAGGGUGUUACAGAACUCGCG